rnacentral:rRNA from 1 species
GUGUCUUUGAGGUUCUAACCUAGACCCGUCAUCCGGGUCGGGGACCGUGCAUGGUAGGCAGUUUGACUGGGGCGGUCUCCUCCCAAAGCGUAACGGAGGAGUUCGAAGGUUACCUAGGUCCGGUCGGAAAUCGGACUGAUAGUGCAAUGGCAAAAGGUAGCUUAACUGCGAGACCGACAAGUCGAGCAGGUGCGAAAGCAGGACAUAGUGAUCCGGUGGUUCUGUAUGGAAGGGCCAUCGCUCAACGGAUAAAAGGUACUCCGGGGAUAACAGGCUGAUUCCGCCCAAGAGUUCAUAUCGACGGCGGAGUUUGGCACCUCGAUGUCGGCUCAUCACAUCCUGGGGCUGUAGUCGGUCCCAAGGGUAUGGCUGUUCGCCAUUUAAAGUGGUACGUGAGCUGGGUUUAAAACGUCGUGAGACAGUUUGGUCCCUAUCUGCAGUGGGCGUUGGAAGUUUGACGGGGGCUGCUCCUAGUACGAGAGGACCGGAGUGGACGAACCUCUGGUGUACCGGUUGUAACGCCAGUUGCAUAGCCGGGUAGCUAAGUUCGGAAGAGAUAAGCGCUGAAAGCAUCUAAGCGCGAAACUCGCCUGAAGAUGAGACUUCCCUUGCGGUUUAACCGCACUAAAGAGUCGUUCGAGACCAGGACGUUGAUAGGUGGGGUGUGGAAGCGCGGUAACGCGUGAAGCUAACCCAUACUAAUUGCUCGUGAGGCUUGACUCUAU